rnacentral:rRNA from 1 species
UACGUAGGGUGCAAGCGUUGUCCGGAAUUAUUGGGCGUAAAGAGCUCGUAGGCGGUCUGUCGCGUCGGCUGUGAAAUCCCGAGGCUCAACCCCGGGCCUGCAGUGGAUACGGGCUGGCUAGAGGCAGGCAGGGGAGAACGGAAUUCCUGGUGUAGCGGUGAAAUGCGCAGAUAUCAGGAGGAACACCGGUGGCGAAGGCGGUUCUCUGGGCCUGUACUGACGCUGAGGAGCGAAAGCGUGGGGAGCAAACAGG